UACGUAGGUGGCAAGCGUUGUCCGGAUUUACUGGGCGUAAAGAGCGCGCAGGCGGUCGACCAAGUCGCGUGUGAAAGCCCCCGGCUCAACUGGGGAGGGUCACGCGAUACUGAUCGACUCGAAGGCAGGAGAGGGUAGUGGAAUUCCCGGUGUAGUGGUGAAAUGCGUAGAUAUCGGGAGGAACACCAGUGGCGAAGGCGACUACCUGGCCUGUUCUUGACGCUGAGGCGCGAAAGCGUGGGGAGCAAACAGG
rnacentral:rRNA from 1 species